UGAUCGCAAUCUUUACUUAGAAAGCCACGUUUCUAGCAUUUGUAAAACUGCACUUUCCAUCUCAAAAAUAUAUCUAAAUUAUGUCCUAUGAUCUCAGUGUCAAAUGCAGAAAUGUUAAUCCAUGCGUUUGUGACCUCAAGGUUAGACUAUUGUAAUGCUUUAUUGGGUGGUUGUUCUGCACGCUUAGUAAACAAACUACAGCUAGUCCAAAAUGCAGCAGCAAGAAUUCUUACUAGAACCAGGAAGUAUGACCAUAUUAGCCCGGUCCUGUCAACACUGCACUGGCUUCCUAUCAAACAUCAUAUAGAUAUUUAUAAUAUUACAAUAUAAUAUUAUAUAGAUUUUAAAAUAUUGCUUAUUACUUAUAAAGCCCUGAAUGGUUUAGCACCUCAGCAUUUGAGUGAGCUCCUUUUACAUUAUUAUCCUCUAUGUCCGCUAUGUUCUCAAAACUCAAUUUGAUAAUUCCUAGAAUAUCAAAAUCAACUGUGUGCGGCAGAUCCUUUUCCUAUUUGGCACCUAUACUCUGGAAUAACCUACCUAACAUUGUUCGGGAGGCAGACACACUCUUGCAGUUUAAAUCUAGAUUAAAGACCCAUCUCUAUGAUGGAUUACACUUAACACACUAAUAUGCUUUUAAUAUCCAAAUCCAUUAAAGUAUUUUUAGGCUGCAUUAAUUAGGUAAACCGGAACCGGAAACACACCCUAUGUACUUGCUACAUCAUUAGAAGAAUGGCAUCUACACUAAUAUUAGUCUGUUUCUCUCUUAUUCCGAGGUCACCGUAGCCACCAGAUCCAGUCUGUAUCCAGAUCAGAGGGUCAGUGCAGUCACCCGGAUCCAGUACGUAUCCAGACCAGAUGGUGGAUCAGCACCUAGAAAGGACCUCUACUGCCCUGAAAGACAGCGGAGACCAGGACAACUAGAGCCCCAGAUACAGACCACAGGAAACAGAUGAUUCUUCUGCACAAUCUGACUUUGCUGCAGUCUGGAAUUGAACUACUGGUUUCGUCUGGUCAGAGGAGAACUGACCCCCCAACUGAGCCUGGUUUCUCCCAAGGUUUUUUUCUCCAUUCUGUCACCGAUGGAGUUUCGGUUCCUUGCCGCUGUCGCCUCUGGCUUGCUUAGUUGGGGUCACUUCAUCUACAGCGAUAUCAUUGACUUGAUUGCAAAUUAAAACAGACACUAUUUCAACUGAACAGAGAUGACAUAACUGAAUUCAAUGAUGAACUGCCUUUAACUAUCAUUUUGCAUUAUUGAGACACUGUUUUCCAAAUGAAUGUUGUUCAGUGCUUU